rnacentral:rRNA from 1 species
GAGGAUGGAAGAGGAGAGCGGAACUGCCGGUGUAAGGGUGAAAUCUGUGGAUAUCGGCAGGAACGCCAGCGGAGAAGUCGGCUCUCUGGUCCAUUUCUGACGCUCAGGGACGAAAGCUAGGGGAGCGAACAGGAUUAGAUACCCUGGUAGUCCUAGCUGUAAACGAUGGGCACUAGAUGCUCGUUCUUUUGAAUGGGUGUCGUAGCUAACGCGUUAAGUGCCCCACCUGGGGACUACGGUCGCAAGACUAAAACUCAAAGGAAUUGACGGGGGCCUGCACAAGCGGUGGAACACGUGGUUUAAUUCGAUGCUACGCGAGGAACCUUACCAGGGCUUGACAUGCUGGAAGUAGCCACCCGAAAGGAUUGGCCACCUGUAACCAAUCAGGAACCAGUGCAGGUGCUGCAUGGCUGUCGUCAGCUCGUGCCGUGAGGUGUUCCCUUAAGUGGGAAAACGAGCGCAACCCUCGUCCUUAGUUGCCACCUUCGAGUAAUCGGAGCGCACUCUAAGGAGACUGCCCGCGUUAAGUGGGAGGAAGGUGAGGAUGACGUCAAGUCCGCAUGGCCCUUAUGUCCUGGGCUACACACGUGUUACAAUGGCGCAUACAAUGGGGGGCUAAGCCGUAAGGUGGAGCAAAUCCUAUAAAGUGUGCCUCAGUUCGGAUUGAGGGCUGCAAUUCGCCCUCAUGAAGCUGGAAUCGCUAGUAAUGG